CCUACGGGUGGCAGCAGUGAGGAAUAUUGGUCAAUGGACGAGAGUCUGAACCAGCCAAGUCGCGUGAAGGAUGACUGCCCUCUGGGUUGUAAACUUCUUUUAUCUGGGACUAAAAUGUUCCACGUGUGGGAUUUUGUAUGUACCAUAUGAAUACGGAUCGGCUAACUCCGUGCCAGCAGCCGCGGUUAUACGGCGGUUCCGAGCGUUAUCCGGAUUUAUUGGGGUUAAAGGGAGCAUAGGUGGAUUGUUAAGUCAGUUGGGAAAGUUUGCGGCUCAACCGUAAAAUUGCAGUUGAAACUGGCAGUCUUGAGUACAGUAGAGGUGGGCGGAAUUCGUGGUGUAGCGGUGAAAUGCUUAGAUAUCACGAAGAACUCCGAUUGCGAAGGCAGCUCACUGGACUGCAACUGACACUGAGGCUCGAAAGUGUGGGUAUCAAACAGGAUUAGAUACCCUUGUAGUC
rnacentral:rRNA from 1 species